UCUUCUUCUUCUUCUCUUUCUCGUUUCGAGAAGAAUAUAAUUCUCGCGCAUACUUUCCACGAAUUCCCCCUCCUCCUCCUCCUUCUUCCCCCUCCUCUCUUUAAAAACCAAACACGGACAGCAUUUCCGAAAAUUUCCGCGCAAACAAGCGAGUAAUUACGCGCAAAGUUUAUAUCUCCUCGUCCCACCAUCGCGACGAUUUUAAACCGGAUCCGACCAACCGGAUCCCACGCCAAAACUUUGCGAGGGGAACAAUUCCAAGUUUGGCCAGGUUCGGCCGUAGUUCGAAUUCCGGGGCGUUAAGUUUCAAAUUAGAGGGUGUGCGUGUGUGUAUGCGUGUAUGUGACGAAUCCCCCCUCCCCUCUUCCCAUCCAUCGCCUAAUAACGCCUUAAUGAUCGUCGUUACCGAGCGGGUAGGCGGUGGGGGAAAGGAGAAGGGGUGUCGGGGAUAAUUGCGGAAUUAAGGAUGGACGCGCGUCGUAUUGGCACGCGUUGUUUUUCCCUCUCCAGCGACGACAACAACAACAAACGGGCGCUGUAAUUUUCGCCCGAUCGAGGAUAAUUGGUCCUCCCCCCCUCUCCCCUCCUAAUGACAGGCCAAUCCUUGAGCCGCAUUGUCUCACGUCAAACCGCCCACGCGAGACCGAAUAAAUAUUUAUUCGCAUUGAGAUUCAUCUGCAUUGAAAAGCAUCGAGCGCCAUCUGGAAAAAUGGCGGCGGUUGUACAAUUGGAUUCGUUACGGAUUUCGUUACUUGAGUGAGUGGGAGAGAGAGAGGGGAGGAUGGACGGGAAGUGGAACGGUUUCUUCUUUGUUCUAGAAUUUUCCGUUUCUUUUCUCUUUUUUUAAUAGACGAGGUUUGUGGUUUCGAAGGAUUGUUCAAGAAAUAGUGUCAGAUUUCGAAUUUGGAUCUCGAUUGGUUUUAUCGAGAGAUUCAUAUUAAAUUGAUAAAAGUAAACGUGGAAGGAUGAUUAUGACUUAUAUUUGGAAUAAUUUUAGAAAGUUAAUUUUGACUUCAAUGCUUGAGAAUUAUUUGAUGAAAUGACUCACCCCUUGGACGAUGGAGACGAGCUUCUGGCACUAUAUGCACAACGACGAUGAACGCUUGAAGCAUCAGUGGAUAACGCAUGGUUGCAGUCAGGCCGGGAUACGCCAACUUUUAAUUUACGAGAUUAUAACGUUGUUGACGAAGAAUUAUGUUCUUAAGUUGUGCAAGUGGAGAGCAAUCGUUGAAAAGUUAUUAAAAUAAUUGUUUAAUUGAUUCGUCGAAAAUCCAAACACGCCGCUAUUCGUCGAACAAAAAUCCGAAUAGGAUAAGACGACAAAUCCGAGGUUUAAUCUCGAGUGAAAAGAAAAAAAAAACGUUCGAAACAACCCAACACAGUUCGGAUUAGAACACCAGGGCGAUAAAACGUUUAGAGGCGGGAUUCGAGGACACAAGGCCAAACCGAUCGAUAUCUAAAAGAAGAAGAAGCUUAAAACUGGAACGAGUCUUUCUUUGUUGUUGUAAAAAACAAAGUUCGAAAUUGACGAUUCUCAGAUUAUUUUUCCUACAGGCAGAGAAAGAAUGGUGAGUUUUUCACCGGCUUGGAAUAACAAGGAAAGGAGAGGAAUAAUCCCUGCGAAAAGAAAGGAAUUGAAGUUGAGUUGCAGCUUGGUCGGUAAGGAAGGAAGGAAGAAAAGAAGGAAGGAAAAGGCGGGAUGCUUUCGUAGCAGCAGCUUUGCGUCCCAAGGCAUGAAGCUUGUUACGCGAGAUUCCUCUGGUGGUCAGGCGGAGUAAUGCUCGGUAGUUAUGGUAAUCGGAUUUGAACGAGAGCCCCCAUGAUUGGACUCGAUACAACCCUACCUACCUCUCCCUCCCCUCCCUCCCUCCCUGUGAAUAGCCGGAUUUAUUUUGUAUUAUCACGUGUCCCCGCGUUCCCAAUUAUUUGCCGCUCCAGUUUCAUUAUAUUAUCCACAGGGGGCGCUGCAAAAUGCUGGAAAAUUAUUGCGAGCCAACCACAGACGACGAUGGUCGCGAAAACAAGAAAAUUUGAUCGGUUUGAGCAGAUUCUCCUCCAACGAAAAUUUUUCCAAGUUGGUAUUAUAAUCAAUCGAUCCGAUAUGAAAUCGAGGCAAUUAUAUUUUAAACUGUGCGAAGAACAAAGAAACUCAUGAAUAAUAAUCGAAUCUGCGUUUCUUCUUCGCGACUGUCGAUUAUCGAAUCGAAUAAAUGAAAAAGAGGCGACGAAGGAAAAGAAAAAAAGGAAAAAUUAGCAAUCGAGCCGAUUCGAAGUCGGAGCACGGAGAAAAUAAAUGUUAAUUGCCAUUGCAAAUGUAUCGAAAGUUCGCUCGUGUUGAUAGCUAUCCCCGCGUGGCUAAUUACUGAUCUCGUAGACAGAGGGAGAAAGAGAGAGUUAAUCAACUGACUUUGAUUUCCCCAAACCCUUUCGGUAUUCCGCACCGUUUGCCACCCUUCUGUUGCUAAUUGGGACAAGGGCUGAUAGAUAUACACGUAGAAUUGCGCGUGCACAGGCGUUAAAUUUAUUUCAAACUGAAAAUUUCAAUCGAUUGACAAUAAUUCGUUGAUUGCAAAGGUAAAUUAUCGAAUAUCGGUAAUUUUAAUACCCGUUGAAAUUGUGGAUUCAGUCUUAUUACUGUUAUUACCUUUUUUUUUUUUACUUUUAAGAUAGAUUAUGCAAUAAUUGGAAAUUACAAAAAUUGUACAAUUGUAUCAUAUUUUUCUCUAUAAGGUUAGAAUUUGAUUGCUAAAGAAUUUGAUGCUUAAAUUUCAUAUUUUAUUAGUAAAAGAUUAGGUUAUGUUAGGUUAGGAAUUAAUUGGCCUCUCUAUAAGGUUAGAAUUUGAUUGCUAAAUGGUUACUAUAUUUUAUAUUUUAUUAGUUUAAAAGAUUAGGUUAUGUUAGGUUAAGAAUUUUGUGAUAUCAAAGUAUUGUCAGAUGUUAUUUAAUAUAUUAUAAUUCUUAUUUAAUUAUAAUUUCAUAUUUUAUUAGUAAAAGAUUAGAUUAGGAAUUAAAUUGGCCUUUUUAUAUUAUUAUAUUUAUUGUUAGGAAUUUUGUGAUAUCAAAUUAUUGUCAGAUGUUAUUUAAUAUAUUAUAAUUCAUAUUUUAUUAGUAAAAAAUUAGGUUAUGUUAGGAAUUAAAUUGGCCUUUUUAUAUUAUUACAUUUAUUGUUAGGAAUUUUGUGAUAUCAAAUUAUUGUCAGAUGUUAUUUAAUAU